rnacentral:rRNA from 1 species
GAUGAACGCUGGCGGCGUGCCUAAUACAUGCAAGUCGAGCGAACAGACGAGGAGCUUGCUCCUCUGACGUUAGCGGCGGACGGGUGAGUAACACGUGGAUAACCUACCCAUAAGACUGGGAUAACUUCGGGAAACCGGAGCUAAUACCGGAUAAUAUAUUGAACCGCAUGGUUCAAUAGUGAAAGACGGUUUUGCUGUCACUUAUGGAUGGAUCCGCGCCGCAUUAGCUAGUUGGUAAGGUAACGGCUUACCAAGGCAACGAUGCGUAGCCGACCUGAGAGGGUGAUCGGCCACACUGGAACUGAGACACGGUCCAGACUCCUACGGGAGGCAGCAGUAGGGAAUCUUCCGCAAUGGGCGAAAGCCUGACGGAGCAACGCCGCGUGGGUGAUGAAGGUCUUCGGAUCGUAAAACUCUGUUAUUAGGGAAGAACAAAUGUGUAAGUAACUAUGCACGUCUUGACGGUACCUAAUCAGAAAGCCACGGCUAACUACGUG